AGGUAGAGAGAGCAAAAAAAGAAUGUUUUCCUUCGUUCAGCCACACAUCCGUGCGUCAUUUAAACGGCGUGCCACGCCCUUUGAGGGAUGAAGCGACGGUCCCCUGGGAGCAUUUGGAAUUCGGGAGGGUGAGCUGAGUUCACGUCCACAGAGAUGAGAGGAUGACUGUGCGCUCUGCGCUCCCAGGCAGAGCUGGACUGUGAUGACUGAGAGCCAGACUGCAUGUGUGCGCGUCACGCCCGCCAGCUCCAACGGAAACAGUGGAGCUACAG